UAGCUGAAACAGUUGAGAGUGGUGCAGAGAUCACUUACGCGGAUCCAAUAUUCUACAAAUGAAAAGCACUGAAAUCGGUCGAGGUGUAAAGAGCAGAUAAUGAGGUGAACGCUGGAUUCUCGAGACACUGACCAACUCUUGAUCAAACUGGCAUUCUGUUUUUGGUUUAGUAACUUUUUACACCCUGAUCACAUUAUUAUUAUUAUUAUUUUUUUUUUUUUUUUUUUUUGUGCAUUUAAAUAUAUGCACAUUAAAAAGUUAACAAAAGUGAUUUCUUGCGAAGGGUUUUCCCAGUUUAAACUGGAUUUCAUUGAGGUAUAGUCAUACAGAUUUCAUUCUUACUCAUUUUGGAGUCCUGAAGUGGAAAAAUGCAUUGAUUGUGAAUUGAGAAG